rnacentral:rRNA from 1 species
ACGCGCAGAACCUUACCACCUUUUGACAUGCCUGGACCGCCAGAGAGAUCUGGCUUUCCCUUCGGGGACUAGGACACAGGUGCUGCAUGGCUGUCGUCAGCUCGUGUUGUGAAAUGUUGGGUUAAGUCCCGCAACGAGCGCAACCCUUAUCCUUUGUUGCCAGCGGUUCGGCCGGGAACUCAAAGGAGACUGCCAGUGAUAAACUGGAGGAAGGUGGGGAUGACGUCAAGUCAUCAUGGCCCUUACGAGUAGGGCUACACACGUGCUACAAUGGCAUAUACAAAGAGAAGCGACCUCGCGAGAGCAAGCGGACCUCAUAAAGUAUGUCGUAGUCCGGAUUGGAGUCUGCAACUCGACUCCAUGAAGUCGGAAUCGCUAGUAAUCGUAGAUCAGAAUGCUACGGUGAAUACGUUCCCGGGCCUUGUACACACCGCCCGUCACACCAUGGGAGUGGGUUGCAAAAGAAGUAGGUAGCUUAACCUUCGGGAGGGCGCUUACCACUUUGUGAUUCAUGACUGGGGUGAAGUCGUAACAAGGUAACCGUAGGGGAACCUGCGGCUGGAUCACCUCCUU